rnacentral:lncRNA from 1 species
AUUAAUUAGAGGAUAAACCUAACUAGAUUAGGACUAAUAUUUAAAUCUAUUAGAGAUUGAUUAAGAUAGAUUUAGAUAUUAAUUGGAGUAGAAAUCCUAAAUAUAUUAGGAUUGGGGUACGUUUUAGUGGAGCCUUAUAAAUAGCUCUUUGUGGGUUUGCUUUUGAGGUGAGUACGGGAGAGAGAAAAAAGAGCUCUUGGGUGCCGUACUAGAGAGAGAAAAAGAGAGAGAGAGUUAUUCAAUGAGUUGAGUGCAUCUAGUGCACGGGUGCGCGUGGAUGAUUGUCUUCUUUGUGGGAUCAUAGAAGACGAGAGAAGGGUAGAAGAAAUUCAAAAAAGAGGGCUCGAGUUGUAGCUACUCUGUUGCAGAAGAGGAGUCAGGUGUAAUCUUCUCUUAUUUAAUGAAUCUUAUUUUACCUGCAUAUGUUUCUCUUUUAUGAUUGUAUCAGCUUUUGCUGAGGAGACGGGUUUAUGGUCAAAACCCGAUUUGACGUUUCCGUUGCGGAAUCCCAACAAUCGAUACCGGAUCCACAGCAGUCGGUAUUGGAGCGGAUUGCGGAUUCACGAGAUCCGGUACCGGGGCGAGUACCCGAUUCCCAACAAGUGGUAUCAGAGCCGAAGGUUACCGAUUUGCCGGAGAGAUCGACGGAGAUGGCCACGAAAUUCGAAAUCGAGAAGUUCGACGGCAAGAACAAUUUCGGAUUAUGGCAAAUUAAAGUACGAGCAAUCCUCGUACAGCAAGAGUUAGACGAGACGUUGAACGGGAAGGAGGCAAAGCCGGCGGAGGUCACGGAUGUGGCAUGGACGAAGAUGGAGCGGAAGGCGCUGAGUACGCUUCAUCUAUCAUUAGCAGAUGAGGUUCUUUACAAUGUAGCCGGCGAGACGACACCGGCGAAAUUGUGGAAGAAAUUGGAAGAUCUGUACAUGACCAAAUCCCUGACGAACAGAUUGUAUCUGAAGCAGCGACUGUUUACGUUGCGGAUGCAAGAAGCGGCGAGCCUACAUGAUCAUCUAAAUGAGUUCAACAAGGUGGUGGCCCAGUUGACCAGCAUCGGAGUCAAUCUGGAUGACGAAGACAAGGCGUUGAUCCUACUAUCUUCGCUGCCGACGGCAUAUGAGCAUCUGGUGACCACGUUGCUUUAUGGCAAGGAGUCCAUAAGCGUAGAGGCGGUCACAGCGGCGCUUCUUUCGAACAAGAUGCGGAAGAUGACUCAGGAGUCCGGCAUACAGAGCCGGGAUACAGCUUUGGUGGUGAGAACGAAGAAGGUGGCGACAACAUCAGCGACCGGAGAUCGACAGAAAAAGCCGCUAUCUGAGGUGGAGUGCUUUUACUAUCACAGGAAAGGGCAUAUAAAGUGCAACUGUCGAAAACUUCAGGAUGAUUUGAAGAAGUUAAAGCGACAGAAGGAGAAAACUGUCGUGAAUCAGGACGAGAUGGUAUCAGCGACGGCACAGACGGCAGAGUCGGAGAUGUUCGAUUCUGAUGUGCUAUAUGCGGCGACCGGAGGUGCGAAAAUUUCGGACGAUGUGUGGGUUCUCGAUUCGGCGUAUUCUUUUCACGUAUGCCCGGAGAAGGAGUCUUUUGCCACCUAUAAGGCGACCAAAGGUGGAAAGGCGCUGAUGGGGAACGGGACAGCGUGCAAAGUAUUGGGGGUCGGCAUGGUGAAAAUCCGAAUGCACGAUGGGGUUGUGAGGACGUUGACAGGUGUGCGGCACGUUCCUGGAUUGAAGCGGAAUUUGAUCUCGUUAGGCUCAUUGGACUCGAAGGGUUGCGAUAUUUCAGCUUCAGGUGGAGCUAUGAGGGUCCAAAAACGAGAUCGGAUCGUGUGCGAGGCGAACAAGCGUGGGAACUUAUACGUUCUGAACGGAAGCACAGUCAGAACGGGAGCGAAAACGGUUUGGGUUCCAAAAGUUCGCGGAUGUGCAGUUGCUCGAGAUGGAGCGACGGAUGCGGCGACAUCGAGCGGAGGAGACAAGCUCAAGGUGGAGUUUGCAUGGUGAGCUCGACGUAGCGGUUGAAAAUUACAAAUCAAACCAAGGUGGAGAAUGUUAGGAUUUGGUUAGAUUUGUAGUUGAAUCCUAUUUAGAUAAGAAUUAAUAUUUAAAUCUGUUGGAGAUAAAUUAAGAUUUAAAUAUUAAUUAGAGGAUAAACCUAACUAGAUUAGGAUUAAUAUUUAAAUCUAUUAGAGAUUGAUUAAGAUAGAUUUAGAUAUUAAUUGGAGUAGAAAUCCUAAAUAUAUUAGGAUUGGGGUACGUUUUAGUGGAGCCUUAUAAAUAGCUCUUUGUGGGUUUGCUUUUGAGGUGAGUACGGGAGAGAGAAAAAAGAGCUCUUGGGUGCCGUACCAGAGAGAGAAAAAGAGAGAGAGAAAGUUAUCCAAUGAGUUGAGUGCACCUAGUGCACGGGUGCGCGUGGAUGAUUGUCUUCUUUGUGGGAUCAUAGAAGACGAGAGAAGGGUAGAAGAGAUUCAAAAAAGAGGGCUCGAGUUGUAGCCACUCUGUUGCAGAAGAGGAGUCAGGUGUAAUCUUCUCUUAUUUAAUGAAUCUUAUUUUACCUGCAUAUGUUUCUCUUUUAUGAUUGUAUCAGCUUUUGCUGAGGAGACGGGUUUAUGGUAAAAACCCGAUUUGACGUUUCCGUUGCGGAAUCCCAACAAUCGAUACCGGAUCCACAGCAGUCGGUAUCGGAGCGGGUUGCGGAUUCACGAGAUCCGGUACCGGGGCGAGUACCGGAUUCCCAACAGAUUCAUUAGAUAUAAUUUUUGGAUAUUAUUUUUUUAGUUACUCGAUUAAUUUCUUUUUCUACACCAUUUAUUUUUGACAAUAUUUGAUGCUUUAGUAAUAUAUUUUUAAGUGUAACAAUUUUUAUGUUUAGGCUCUUUACAUUACGCUUUGAUUAGAUUGGAC